rnacentral:rRNA from 1 species
UGGUCAAGUUAUUAAGGGUGCAGGGCGGAUGCCUUGGCACUAGGAGCCGAUGAAGGACGUGAUAAGCUGCGAUAAGCUUCGGGGAGUUGCACGUAAACUUUGAUCCGAAGAUUUCCGAAUGAGGAAACUCACUUAGAGUAAUGUCUAAGUAUCAUUAAGUGAAUACAUAGCUUAAUGAGGGGAACUCAGGGAACUGAAACAUCUAAGUACCUGAAGGAAGAGAAAGAAAUUCGAUUCCGUAAGUAGCGGCGAGCGAACGCGGAUUAGCCCAAACCAAUAAAGUU